GGGGGUCCCAAGCCAAAAGUUGGGGGGAAACCUGGGGAACUCAGGCUAAUACCGCAUACGUCCUACGGGAGAAAGCAGGGGAUCUUCGGACCUUGCGCUAUCGGAUGAGCCCAUGUCGGAUUAGCUUGUUGGUGAGGUAAUGGCUCACCAAGGCGACGAUCCGUAGCUGGUCUGAGAGGAUGAUCAGCCACACUGGGACUGAGACACGGCCCAGACUCCUACGGGAGGCAGCAGUGGGGAAUAUUGGACAAUGGGCGAAAGCCUGAUCCAGCCAUGCCGCGUGUGUGAAGAAGGCCUUCGGGUUGUAAAGCACUUUCAGCGAGGAAGAACGCCUUGGGAUUAAUACUCCCGAGGAAAGACAUCACUCGCAGAAGAAGCACCGGCUAACUCCGUGCCAGCAGCCGCGGUAAUACGGAGGGUGCAAGCGUUAAUCGGAAUUACUGGGCGUAAAGCGCGCGUAGGUGGCUAAGUCAGCCAGGUGUGAAAGCCCCGGGCUCAACCUGGGAACGGCAUCUGGAACUGCUUGGCUAGAGUGCAGGAGAGGAAGGUAGAAUUCCCGGUGUAGCGGUGAAAUGCGUAGAGAUCGGGAGGAAUACCAGUGGCGAAGGCGGCCUUCUGGACUGACACUGACACUGAGGUGCGAAAGCGUGGGUAGCAAACAGGAUUUAGAUACCCUGGUAGUCCACGCCGUAAACGAUGUCAACUAGCCGUUGGGUCCCUUGAGGACUUAGUGGCGCAGCUAAACGCAAUAAGUUGACCGCCUGGGGGAGUACGGGCCGCAAGGGUUAAAACUCAAUGAAAUUGACGGGGGGCCCGGCACAAGCGGGUGGAAGCAUGUGGUUUAAAUCGAUGCAACGCGAAGAACCUUACCUACCCUUGACAUCCCAGAGGACUUUCCAGAAGAUGGAAUGGUGCCCUUCGGGAACUCUGAAGAACAGGUGCUGGCAUGGGCUGGUCGUCAGCCUCCGUGUUGUUGAAAAUGUUGGGGUUAAGUCCGGUAAACGAGAGCGCGCAACCCCUUAAUCCCUUAAUUGCCAGCGAGAGUAUAUGGUCGGGAAACUUCUUAAGGAGACCUGGCCGGUGAACAACCUGGAGGAAUGUGGGGGACCGACGUCCAAGUCUAUCAUGGCCUACCGGGGUAAGGCCUCAACCACC
rnacentral:rRNA from 1 species